CCGGGGCCGCGACGCGUCUCUCCAGCCCGGGAUCCGGGGAGCUGGGCUGUCCCCAGACCGACGGGACAGCGGCAUCUCCUCCACCUGAAAAGGAAAGAGGACCAGUUUGCAGGACUCCGAACUGGGCCCGCGAGAUCUCCACCUGCGCAAAACGAAAGGGCGGAUUCUCCUUGGACUCACGAGGCAACCGCUCCCCGGGGUGAGAACGGGGGACUCAUUCCUCCGGCACUGGGAGAAGACGAUUCUUUAGGAGGAGGACAGGGAAGCGA
rnacentral:lncRNA from 1 species